AGCGAGGCUAGAGUCACGCCUAGACACUUGACCUGUUGUCCUGGUGUGCUAGAGUGCUCGCAGAGGAAAAGAUCUUUGCUUAUUCAUUGGCUGUAGUCUCAUGUGUCCCAGUCAAUCACCAGCUCAGAAACAUGA